rnacentral:rRNA from 1 species
UACCUGAAGGAAGAGAAAGAAAUUCGAUUCCGUAAGUAGCGGCGAGCGAACGCGGAUUAGCCCAAACCAAUAAAGUUUUCUUUAUUGGGGUUGCGGACAUAUCAUAACGAAGAGGUAUCGUAAUUGAAGAGGUUUGGAAAGACCCACCACAGAAGGUAAUAGUCCUGUAUGUUAAACGAGAAGACUUCAGAUAUGAUCCAGAGUACCACGGGACACGUGAAACCCUGUGGGAAGCAGGAGGGACCACCCUCCAAGGCUAAAUACUACCUAGUGACCGAUAGCGUAUAGUACCGUGAGGGAAAGGUGAAAAGAACCCCGGGAGGGGAGUGAAAUAGAACCUGAAACCCUGCACUUACAAGCUGUGGAAGCACAUUUCUUGUGUGACCGCGUACUUUUUGUAGAACGGGCCAACGAGUUACGUUAAGUAGCAAGGUUAAGCACUUAAGGUGUGGAGCCGUAGCGAAAGCGAGUUUUAACUGAGCGUUCAGUUACUUGACGUAGACCCGAAACCGGGCGACCUACCCAUGAGCAGGAUGAAGCGAAAGUAAAAUUUCGUGGAGGUCCGAACCCACGAGCGUUGAAAAGCUCGGGGAUGACUUGUGGGUAGCGGUGAAAUUCCAAUCGAGCCCGGAGAUAGCUGGUUCUCCCCGAAAUAGCUUUAGGGCUAGCCUCAAGGUGAGAGAUACGGAGGUAGAGCACUGAAUGUCCUAGGGGGUAUUGCACCUACCGAAGACUAUCAAACUCCGAAUGCCGUCAUCUUAUACUUGGGAGUCAGACUGUGGGUGAUAAGAUUCAUAGUCGAAAGGGCAACAGCCCAGAUCGUCAGCUAAGGUCCCUAAAUGUAAGUUAAGUGGUAAAGGAUGUGGGAUUGCACAGACAACCAGGAUGUUGGCUUAGAAGCAGCCACUCAUUCAAAGAGUGCGUAAUAGCUCACUGGUCGAGUGAUCCUGCGCCGAAGAUUUCCGGGGCUAAAACUUACUACCGAAGCUACGGCAUCAGUAAUGAUGGGUAGGGGAGCUUCCCAUACGGGUUGAAGCAUGACCGUAAGGACAUGUGGACAGUAUGGGAGUGAGAAUGUUGGCAUGAGUAGCGAGAUGUGGGUGAGAAUCCCACAGGCCGUAAACCCAAGGUUUCCAGGGGAAGGUUCGUCCGCCCUGGGUUAGUCGGGACCUAAGCUGAGGCCGAAAGGCGUAGGUGAUGGACAACAGGUUGAUAUUCCUGUACUACCGAUAACCGUUUGAGAGAAGGGAUGACACAGUAGGAUAAGCUAAGCACACUGUUGGUUAUGUGUGCCCAAGCAUUGAGGCAGUCAAAGUAGGCAAAUCCGCUUUGAUAAUGCUGGGAUGUGAUGGGGAGCGAAAUUUAGUAGCGAAGUAGCUGAUUUCACACUGUCAAGAAAAGUCUCUAUCGAGGUUAAAGGUACCCGUACCGCAAACCGACACAGGUGGGUGAGGAGAGUAUCCUAAGGCCAGCGAGAGAACUGUUGUUAAGGAACUCGGCAAAAUGACCCCGUAACUUAGGGAUAAGGGGUGCCACCAUCAGGUGGCCGCAGAGAAUAGGCCCAAGCGACUGUUUACCAAAAACAUAGGUUUCUGCUAAGUCGCAAGACGAUGUAUAGGAGCUGACGCCUGCCCGGUGCUGGAAGGUUAAGGGGAUCUGUUAGAGCAAUCGAAGCAGUGAACUUAAGCCCCAGUAAACGGCGGCCGUAACUAUAACGGUCCUAAGGUAGCGAAAUUCCUUGUCGGGUAAGUUCCGACCCGCACGAAAGGCGUAACGAUUUGGGCACUGUCUCAACAACAGACUCGGUGAAAUUGUAAUUCCGGUGAAGAUGCCGGAUACCUGCGACAGGACGGAAAGACCCCAUGGAGCUUUACUGUAGCUUGACAUUGGGUCUUGGUACUACAUGUACAGGAUAGGUGGGAGGCUUUGAAACCAGGACGCCAGUUUUGGCGGAGCCAUCCUUGGGAUACCACCCUUGUAGUACUGGGACUCUAACCAUAGGCCAUGAAUCUGGUCUUGGGACACUGUCAGGUGGGCAGUUUGACUGGGGCGGUCGCCUCCCAAAAGGUAACGGAGGCGCUCAAAGGUUCUCUCAGUACGGUCGGAAAUCGUACGUAGAGUGUAAAGGCAAAAGAGAGCUUGAUUGCAAGACAUACAGGUCGAGCAAGGAUGAAAAUCGGACUUAGUGAUCCGGUGGUUCUGCGUGGAAGGGCCAUCGCUCAACGGAUAAAAGCUACCCUGGGGAUAACAGGCUUAUCUCCCCCAAGAGUCCACAUCGACGGGGAGGUUUGGCACCUCGAUGUCGGCUCAUCACAUCCUGGGGCUGUAGUAGGUCCCAAGGGUUGGGCUGUUCGCCCAUUAAAGUGGUACGCGAGCUGGGUUCAGAACGUCGUGAGACAGUUCGGUCCCUAUCCGUCGCAGGCGUAGGAAAUUUGAGAAGACCUGUCCUUAGUACGAGAGGACCGGGAUGGACGUACCUCUGGUGUACCAGUUGUUCUGCCAAGGGCAUGGCUGGGUAGCUAUGUACGGAAUGGAUAAGCGCUGAAAGCAUCUAAGCGCGAAGCCAACUUCAAGAUAAGAUUUCCCACCGCAAGGGUAAGACCCCAGAAAGACUAUCUGGUUGAUAGGUCGAAGGUGUAAGUGCAGCAAUGUAUUUAGCUUAUCGAUACUAAUAGGUCGAGGACUUGACCAA